GCUAAUCGGCGCAGGGUGAGUCGGCCCCUAAGGCGAGACCGAAAGGUGUAGUCGAUGGGAAACGGAUUAAUAUUUCCGUACCUUGGAUAGCUGCGAUGGAGAGACGGAGAAGGCUAGGUGAGCCGGGCGACGGUUGUCCCGGUUUAAGCAUGUAGGCAGUGGGAUUAGGCAAAUCCGGUCCCACAAUGCCGAGACGCGACGACGACUGCCCUUUUAGGGCGGGAAGUCAUUGAUGCCCUGCUUCCAGGAAAAUCUUCUAAGCUUCAGGCUAUUCGAGACCGUACCCCAAACCGACACAGG
rnacentral:rRNA from 1 species